rnacentral:rRNA from 1 species
GUACCAGACUCCUACGGGAGGCAGCAGUGAGGAAUAUUGGUCAAUGGGCUUACGCCUGAACCAGCCAAGUCGCGUGAGGGAAGACUGCCCUAUGGGUUGUAAACCUCUUUUGCCGGGGAGCAAAGAGCGGGACGCGUCCCGCCUCGAGAGUACCCGGAGAAAAAGCAUCGGCUAACUCCGUGCCAGCAGCCGCGGUAAUACGGAGGAUCCGAGCGUUAUCCGGAUUUAUUGGGUUUAAAGGGAGCGUAGGUGGAUUGUUAAGUCAGUUGUGAAAGUUUGCGGCUCAACCGUAAAAUUGCAGUUGAAACUGGCAGUCUUGAGUACAGUAGAGGUGGGCGGAAUUCGUGGUGUAGCGGUGAAAUGCUUAGAUAUCACGAAGAACUCCGAUUGCGAAGGCAGCUCACUGGACUGCAACUGACACUGAGGCUCGAAAGUGUGGGUAUCAAACAGGAUUAGAUACCCCCGUA